UUCGAAAUACAAAUUCUUCCUCGGAAGCAUAAAACUCCUUCAGUAUUCAGUCCAAAAUCCUCAUUCUCACCCUUCUCAACUUGCUGAAACCGAAGGACCAACGAGUUAUCCUUCAACUGUUUUUCUUUAAUCUGCUCAGUCCAAAUAGGCCUCACUUGCAAUUCUGCUAACAGACUUCUAUCAUCAAACAGACUCAAAC
rnacentral:lncRNA from 1 species